rnacentral:rRNA from 1 species
UACGUAGGGUGCAAGCGUUAAUCGGAAUUACUGGGCGUAAAGGGUGCGUAGGUGGUUAUGUAAGUGAGAUGUGAAAUCCCCGGGCUUAACCUGGGAACUGCAUCUUAGACUGCAUGACUGGAGUGCGAUAGAGGGUAGUGGAAUUUCCGGUGUAGCGGUGAAAUGCGUAGAUAUCGGAAGGAACACCAGUGGCGAAGGCGGCUACCUGGAUCGACACUGACACUGAGGCACGAGAGCGUGGGGAGCAAACAGG